rnacentral:tRNA from 1 species
GGAAGCGUGCCCGAGCAGGGACUACCUUGAUAGAGUAGACACGGAAUAAAAUACUCCCGCCUCCC